rnacentral:rRNA from 1 species
GACGAACGCUGGCGGCGUGCUUAACACAUGCAAGUCGAACGGAAAGGCCCUGCUUGCAGGGUACUCGAGUGGCGAACGGGUGAGUAACACGUGGGUGAUCUGCCCUGCACUUCGGGAUAAGCUUGGGAAACUGGGUCUAAUACCGGAUAGGAGCCAUCUUUAGUGUGGUGGUUGGAAAGUUUUUUCGGUGUAGGAUGAGCUCGCGGCCUAUCAGCUUGUUGGUGGGGUAAUGGCCUACCAAGGCGGCGACGGGUAGCCGGCCUGAGAGGGUGUACGGCCACAUUGGGGCUGAGAUACGGCCCAGACUCCUACGGGGGGCAGCAGUGGGGAAUAUUGCACAAUGGGCGCAAGCCUGAUGCAGCGACGCCGCGUGGGGGAUGAAGGCGUUCGGGUUGUAAACUCCUGUCGCUAGGGACGAAGCUUUUUUGUGACGGUACCUAGAUAAGAAGCACCGGCUAACUACGUG